CGUGGGUAACCUGCCCAAGAGAUCGGGAUAACACCUGGAAACAGAUGCUAAUACCGGAUAACAACAGAUGAUGCCUAUCAACUGUUUAAAAGAUGGUUCUGCUAUCACUCUUGGAUGGACCUGCGGUGCAUUAGCUAGUUGGUAGGGUAACGGCCUACCAAGGCGAUGAUACAUAGCCGAGUUGAGAGACUGAUCGGCCACAUUGGGACUGAGACACGGCCCAAACUCCUACGGGAGGCAGCAGCG
rnacentral:rRNA from 1 species